UACGAAGGGGGCUAGCGUUGUUCGGAUUUACUGGGCGUAAAGCGCACGUAGGCGGAUUGUUAAGUCAGGUGUGAAAUCCUGGAGCUCAACUCCAGAACUGCCUUUGAUACUGGCAAUCUUGAGUCCGGAAGAGGUGAGUGGAACUCCUAGUGUAGAGGUGGAAUUCGUAGAUAUUAGGAAGAACACCAGUGGCGAAGGCGGCUCACUGGUCCGGUACUGACGCUGAGGUGCGAAAGCGUGGGGAGCAAACAGG
rnacentral:rRNA from 1 species